rnacentral:rRNA from 1 species
GCUUACGGCCAUACCUACCUUAGGCACGCCCGAUCUCGUCUGAUCUCGGAAGCUAAGCAGGGUCGGGCCUGGUUAGUACUUGGAUGGGUGACCGCCUGGGAAUACCAGGUGCUGUAAGCA